GGGUCUAUGAUGACAAACCAGUGUCAUAUAGAGGGAUGAUAACAUAAAUAUCAUGCUCAAUGAGAUCAUGCUGAGGCCC